CCUAACAUGCAAGUCGAACGGUAGCAGCAGAGAGCUUGCUCUCUGGCUGACGAGUGGCGGACGGGUGAGUAAGGCAUCGGGACCUGCCCUGUUGUGGGGGAUAACCCGGGGAAACCCGGACUAAUACCGCAUACGCCCUACGGGGGAAAGCGGGGGACUCUUCGGAGCCUCGCGCGAUCAGGAUGGACCGAUGUACGAUUAGCUUGUUGGUGGGGUAACGGCCUACCAAGGCGACGAUCGUUAGCUGGUCUGAGAGGAUGAUCAGCCACACCGGGACUGAGACACGGCCCGGACUCCUACGGGAGGCAGCAGUGGGGAAUAUUGGACAAUGGGGGAAACCCUGAUCCAGCAAUGCCGCGUGUGUGAAGAAGGCCUUCGGGUUGUAAAGCACUUUUAUCGGGAACGAAACCUUGUCGGCCAAUACCCGGCAAGACUGACGGUACCCGAGUAAUAAGCACCGGCUAACUCCGUGCCAGCAGCCGCGGUAAUACCGAGGGUGCAAGCGUUAAUCGGAAUUACUGGGCGUAAAGGGUGCGUAAGUGGUGAGUUAAGUCUGAUGUGAAAGCCCCGGGCUCAACCUGGGAAUGGCAUUGGAAACUGGCUCGCUGGAGUGUGAUAGAGGAUGGCGGAAUUCCCGGUGUAGCGGUGAAAUGCGUACAUAUCGGGAGGAACAUCAUUGGCGAAGGCUGCCAUCUGGAUCAACACUGACACUGAGGCACGAAAGCUUGGGGAGCAAACAGGAUUAGAUACCCUGGUAGUCCACGCCCUAUACGAUGCGUACUGGAUGGAGGUCUCAUCUCGGAGAUCUGUGUCGAACCCAACGCGUUAAGUUCGCCGC
rnacentral:rRNA from 1 species